GCCUUGGUGGUGUAGUGGUCAAGACGUUUGUCUAUUAAACAGGAGGACUUUGGUUCGAUCCCAGUCGAGGUA
rnacentral:tRNA from 1 species